UCCCGGUCUCCCCCGGUCCCCCCCGCGCUCCGCAGCGCCCGCGGGACCCGCGCCCGCCACCUUACAUAGCCCGGGGCGGGGACACGCCCCCGGCCCGCCUCGGCCAAUGGGAGGCUGCGGGCGUGAGCACCCGGCAACAGGCGGACCAAUGAGAAGGCGGGGGCGUGGCCAGCGGGCGCACCAGGCACCGUGCGCAGGUUCGGGACCGGCAGUGCCCCGGUACCGUCCUGCUGACUGCACAAGUCUGCUGCUCCAGGAAAGCUCAACAGCCAGGGAAGGCCAAUUGCUCAAGAUGUGUUACAUCAGAGGGAGGUUGGCUGCGGACAGCUCCUGCCUUUUUCACCAGCUGGUGCUUUUGGGCAGCCCAGAUUCUCAGGAGAGAAACAGCAGAGACCAUAUAGGGACACUCUGAAGGAACACCUGGGGCAGCUGCACUGUUCAGAGGCGUGGAGGGAAGGUGACUCCCAAGGUGAUCCUGGCCCACAGGAGCUGCCAAUGCUCCAUCAGGAUUUCUGCACUGCAGGCAGAUGGAUGUGGCUUCAGCAAAAAAAAAAAAAAACCAAAAAAAAAAAACCAAAACAACA